rnacentral:rRNA from 1 species
UACGGAGGGGGCGAGCGUUAUUCGGAAUUAUUGGGCGUAAAGGGCGCGUAGGCGGCUUGACAAGUCAAAGGUGAAAUCCCUCGGCUCAACUGAGGAACUGCCUUUGAAACUGUCUGGCUUGAGGCCGGGAGGGGGUAGCGGAAUUCCCAGUGUAGCGGUGAAAUGCGUAGAUACUGGGAGGAACACCUAUGGCGAAGGCAGCUCGCUGGGACGUUACUGACGCUGAGACGCGAAAGCGUGGGGAGCAAACAGG